rnacentral:rRNA from 1 species
GACGAACGCUGGCGGCGUGCUUAACACAUGCAAGUCGAACGGAAAGGCCCUGCUUUUGUGGGAUGCUCGAGUGGCGAACGGGUGAGUAACACGUGAGUAACCUGCCCUUGACUUUGGGAUAACUUCAGGAAACUGGGGCUAAUACCGGAUAGGAGCUCCUGCUGCAUGGUGGGGGUUGGAAAGUUUCGGCGGUUGGGGAUGGACUCGCGGCUUAUCAGCUUGUUGGUGGGGUAGUGGCUUACCAAGGCUUUGACGGGUAGCCGGCCUGAGAGGGUGACCGGCCACAUUGGGACUGAGAUACGGCCCAGACUCCUACGGGAGGCAGCAGUGGGGAAUAUUGCACAAUGGGCGGAAGCCUGAUGCAGCAACGCCGCGUGCGGGAUGACGGCCUUCGGGUUGUAAACCGCUUUCGCCUGUGACGAAGCGUGAAUGACGGUAAUGGGUAAAGAAGCACCGGCUAACUACGUG